rnacentral:rRNA from 1 species
UACGGGGGGAGCAAGCGUUGUUCGGAAUCACUGGGCGUAAAGGGAGUCUAGGCGGUUUGGUAAGUGGGAUGUGAGAUGCCCGGGCUCACCCCGGGACCUGCAUCCCAAACUGCUGAGCUUGAGUACAGGAGAGGGUGGGGGAAUUCCAGGUGUAGCGGUGAAAUGCGUAGAGUAUCUGGAGGAACACCGGUGGCGAAGGCGCCCACCUGGCCUGCUACU